rnacentral:lncRNA from 1 species
GAUCAACUGGAUGAGAAGGAGAAAGGGAAACAAAAUAAAUUUUUAUUGUACUGAGGAGCGCUUUAAGAACCAGAAGAUAGAAUUCGAAAGGAACCGUUGAGGUAUUUCUGGCGAAGUCAAAGAACCUAUUCGGUCUUAUGGGUAUGUCAGGAGAAUGAUGAAGUGUUAACUUCGUCCAGAAGUCCAUGUUGGCCUGCAGCCAAUUUUGGGGUUUCUUUGUAGUGUAUGAAGGUGGUCCACCUUGUUGUAAUACACAGGGAGAAUUGCCAACGAUUGACUUAAGUGUCCAUAAUUUUGAUGUACUCAUCAGCCUUCACUCUGUAUCCUAAUGAAAACUACACAGGGCUCAUGCCUUCCUGUUGGAUGCAACUAGGCUUACCAUCAUCAAUAAAGCAGGGUGUUGGGUGGUGAAGGCAUAUCGGUGCUCCUCAGUGACAUCCCUAAAUGUCACUACUCUAUAAUUUUGCCUGUUGAAGAAAGGGUUAACAGUUAAUGUCUUCUCAUCAGAAACGAUAACAAUCAGUCCACAGGUUCCCUUGAGGUGGUUCAGGAUCUUUUUUGCACGCUCCAUACGGACUUUUCUCAUCUGUUAUGUAAACAGAGGUUGCGGAAUACACCGUAAAGUCUUUCCUCCAGCAUUUUUUAGAACCCUAGACACUGUUGAUUGGGGAUUUGUUCAUCUUCCUGACCAUCUCAGCAAUUGAGGAAUUCGGUUUUUUCAUUAAGGCCGAGGUUGUGGUUUUGCUUGCAAUCCCAAGUGUCCUGCAAAUACCCAUCAAUAAUGAACUUGGGAAUUGUGUUCCUCGGUCAGACACAAUGAUUUCUGGAACUCCAAACCUCGACAUUUAAACACUCAAAAAAUUAUUGACUAUUGUCUUGGAGGUUAUAUCUGGAAUAGGAAUCACUUCUAGCCACCUUGUGAAACUAUCCAUAAUAGUUAGGCCAUAGCACAGUCCCUGAAUUAGUGGGAAUGAACAGAUUAUGUCUACGUUAAUAAAGGAAAGUCUUUCAGAUGGAGGAUCGAAAGACGACGUUGGUUUUGAUGUCCUGAAAGGUUUGGUUUUCUGACACGCUAAACACUCUCUAGUGAAGUUUCUGAAAUCGGCUUACAAAUUAGGCCAACCAUGAAAAUGUGAACCCCUCCUUAACGUUUCUUUUAAUCCAGGAUGAUUGAUCUUGGUUACAGAAUGCACGAUUCUUUGACGCAAUUACGGAGAUGACACAGCCACACGGAAUGAGUCAACAUUGCCAAAACCAGUAAGUAGGGUUCCUGCAAUGUAUUUAAAAGAAGGUAUAAUUUUUACACUUAUGUAAAUUAGAAUCCUGUUUCUUUUGUUCCUCAAUUAUAUCUUCAAUGAAGGUUGGGCCUAUUGUGAUGUUAUUUACACUUCUAGAAAGAAUGUGUGCAGUAUGAUUUAAUUUUCCAGAAACGUUUUCGAUAUCACAAUGGAAUUCUGCUAAGAAUGCAAAAGUACGGAACUGCCUUGGUGUCCAGGAAGGAUUUCGAAUGUCAAUUGCAGUGACUAAAGGCUUGUGGUCCGUGAACACUUUAAAAACUGGUCCAUCCAAAGCCCAUAGAAAACUUUUGAUGGUUUCCUUAACACUCAAUAAUUCCUUAUCAAACGUAGAAUGUUUCUGUAGUGUCGUUGAAAGUGCCCGAGGCGCAAAAGCUAACGGUUGUCAGUGCCUAUUUACCUUUUGCUCGAGAGAGGCUCUCAUUUUUGUAUCAGAUAAUUGAACUUUACACUUUUUUUUAAAAGGGGGUACAAAUGAAAUGUACAUUGAGACAAUCUUUCAAUGAACUGAGAGUAAUAUUGAUCAAUGCCCAAAAAUCUAUGCAGUUUAUCUUUUGAUAUUAGAGUUGGUAUUUUUUGUAUUGACCUUAUCUUACAUUCUAGAGGCCUAAAACUUUAGGAGGAAAUAGAAUGUCAAGGAAGUCUACAGAUUUUUAUAAAAAAACUCACAUUUUCAGUAGAAAAGAUCAUACCAUCUGUUGUAAGUCUGGAUAAAACCACGUUCAACGUUUUCCAAUGCUCAUCUAUUGACUCCAAAGCGACAAGGAUAUCCUUAAGGUACAAAAACACAUUUGGAAUUCAUCGUAGAAUUGAAUCGAUAAGUCUCUUAAAUAUUUGAGCUACAUUUUUAAGACCCAAAGGCACACUUAAAUGUUCAUAUAAACCAAAUGUUGCAAUGAUUUCAGUUAUAUUUAUAGAAGAGUUAUUGAUAGGUAUUUGGUUAUACGUUGUGUCUAAUUACACUAUCCUAUUUAAUAGACGAUAUUAGCCGCACAUUCGCAAACCUCAUUUGGGGUUUGGAACGAAGUGAAUAGCACAAGAAAAAUUAGAAGAAGACUAUUGUAGCAUUCCUUUCUUCACCAAUUCGUUGAUUUCAUCUCGUACAAAAUUUAACUUCUUACCAUCUAACUUGUGUGAUUUCUCAAAGCAAGGAGGACCUUUCGUCUCGAUAUAGUGUUCAACUCCAUGAGCUGGAUAAGUUUCAAUGAAACUUUUAAUAUCAAAGACAUCAUUAUAUUUCGAUUUGAUUUCUUGAGUCUUCGAUAGUUCUGAAAUGAAGCACGGUUCAUCUCGGAAUAACUUCUUAUUGGAGAUAUUAAUUCUAAAUCUGAAAUUAUAUACAAAAAACUGAACCCAAAAUUGUACAACUACUUUGUACCACAAUAAAUUUCCAUUCAAAAUCUCCUAGAUUUUCUAGAUUUAGAUUUAAAUAGAAAUAACAUCAACGAGGUAUUCAAUAAUAGGGACAGUUUUUCUUGAACAAGACUUAUAUUUUUUUAAAUGGGAUAACAGAUACUUGCUCUCCCGUAUCUACUAGAAAAUUUGUCGAUGAAUAUAAACGUAAUCCACACUCAAUUUUGAGAAAAUCUAUUGUAACUCUCUUAUAUACUCACAUAUAUAAAAUUAAAAAAAUAAGAAAAAAAAAUGAUGAAUAAAUUCUGCCUUGAAAAGCUUUUACCUUGUGACAUUUUUGCAUUCUGCUUAUUCUACCUUGUAAGUUGUAACGUAUUUAUUUUGAGACUUUCUUGUCUUGGAUUACAAACAAUAACACUAUGCAACAAAAAUUAAGGUCUUGGAACGCCCUCAGGCUCAACUCCAAAUAUAUAAAUAUUAUUUAAGCCGGUGAACACGAAUAUGAUCAUUAAAACUUUCAAUCCAUGAAGGUUUGACCUUUAAAGGCUUUUAAAAAAAAUCAAGUUUUUAGGUUAUACCUAAGAUUCAGUGCGAUAUUUAGACAUAAAAAAAAACGAUAUAUAUGAAAAUCAAAGUAAAUAAAUAGUUGAUAAAAACAUUUCAUC